AACCACCGCUGCUGUCUUCAGUUAUCAUCAACAUUUGAGGUUCUUGACCAGUUAUUGUAACUGCAGCAGAUGAUGCACCUGAUGCAACUAAAGGCAGUUGCUUUCCCUCUGUCACAUUGAAUUGUUUUGCAAUCUCCAUCACUGCCACUGUUGAUGCAACCAGCUGUUUGUUUGCAUCAACAUCACCAACCUCAACAACUUUUUCAUGCUUACCCUCUCCAUCCAGAACAGUCUAGCUGCAACAACCAGUUCUUUCCCAUCAUUAGAAUCAGUUGGUUUUUCUUUUGGCACUGCUAGUUGUUGCUGAUUUGCACUCUCUGCUACAACAG